rnacentral:lncRNA from 1 species
CUCUGUGAUCUUCUGUUUUGUUUUUUAAAUUCCACAUAUGAAUGUGAUCAUAUAAUUGCCUUUCUCUGAUUCAUUUACUUUGCUUAACACAAUAUCCUCUAGUUCCAUCCACGUCAUUGCAAAUGGCAAGAUUUCAUUUUUUUUCUGAUGGCUAAGUAGUACUCCAUUCUAUAUGUACACCACAGCUUCUUUACCCAUUCAUCUGUCCAUAGACAUCUGGCUCUGUCCAUAGUUUGGCUAUUGUGGACAUUGCUGCUUAAAUAUUGGGGUGUAGGUGCCCCUUUAGAUUACUACCUUUGUAUCUUUGGGGUAAAUACCCAACAGUGCGACUGCUGGGUCAUAGGGUAGCUCUAUUUUUAUUUUUAUUUUUUUAAGAUUUUAUUUAUUUAUUCAUUAGAGACACAGAGAGAGAGAGAGAAAGAGGCAGAGACACAGGCAGAGGGAGAAGCAGGCUCCAUGCAGGGAGCCCAACGUGGGACUCCAUCCCGGGUCUCCAGGAUCAUGCCUUGGGCUGAAGGCGGCGCUAAACCGCUGAGCCACUGGGGCUGCCCUAGCUCUAUUUUUAAAUUUUUGAGGAAUCUCCAUCCUAUUUUUCAGAGUGGCUGAUCCAGCUUGUCUUCUCAGCAACAAUGUAAGAGGGUUGCCUUUUCUCUGCAUCUUUGCCAACAGCUGUCAUUUACGGACUUAACUUUACCAUUCUGACUGGUGUGAGGUGGUAUCUCAUUGUGCUUUGGAUUUGUAUUUCCCUGAUGAUGAAUGAUGUCGAGCAUUUUAUCAUGUGUCUUCUGGCCAUCUGUAUGUCUUCUUUGGAGAAAUGUCUGUUCAUGCCUUCUGCUCAUUUCUUGGGUUAUUUGUUCUUUGGGUGUUGAGCUUGAUAAGGUCUGUAUAGAUUUUGGAUACUAGUACUUUAUCUGGUAUGUCAUUUGCAAGUGUCUUCUCCCACUCCGGCAGUUGUCUUUUGAUUUUUGUCGACCAUUUGCUUUGCUGUGCAGAGGCUUUUUAUCUUGAUGAAGUUUCAAUAGUUCAUUUUUCCUGUAUUUCCCUUGCCUUUGUAGAC